UAGCACUUUAUACUGUGAAACUGCGAAUGGCUCAUUAAAUCAGUUAUCGUUUAUUUGAUAGUACCUUACUACAUGGAUACCUGUGGUAAUUCUAGAGCUAAUACAUGCUGAAAACCUCGACUUCGGAAGGGGUGUAUUUAUUAGAUAAAAAACCAAUGCCCUUCGGGGCUCCUUGGUGAAUCAUAAUAACUUAACGAAUCGCAUGGCCUUGCGCCGGCGAUGGUUCAUUCAAAUUUCUGCCCUAUCAACUUUCGAUGGUAGGAUAGUGGCCUACCAUGGUGGCAACGGGUAACGGGGAAUUAGGGUUCGAUUCCGGAGAGGGAGCCUGAGAAACGGCUACCACAUCCAAGGAAGGCAGCAGGCGCGCAAAUUACCCAAUCCCGACACGGGGAGGUAGUGACAAUAAAUACUGAUACGGGGCUCUUUUGGGUCUCGUAAUUGGAAUGAGUACAAUCUAAAUCCCUUAACGAGGAACAAUUGGAGGGCAAGUCUGGUGCCAGCAGCCGCGGUAAUUCCAGCUCCAAUAGCGUAUAUUAAAGUUGUUGCAGUUAAAAAGCUCGUAGUUGAACCUUGGGUCUGGCUGGCCGGUCCGCCUCACCGCGAGUACUGGUCCGGCUGGACCUUUCCUUCUGGGGAAUCUCAUGGCCUUCACUGGCUGUGGGGGGAACCAGGACUUUUACUGUGAAAAAAUUAGAGUGUUCAAAGCAGGCCUUUGCUCGAAUACAUUAGCAUGGAAUAAUAGAAUAGGACGUGCGGUUCUAUUUUGUUGGUUUCUAGGACCGCCGUAAUGAUUAAUAGGGAUAGUCGGGGGGCGUCAGUAUUCAGCUGUCAGAGGUGAAAUUCUUGCUGAUUUGCUGAAGACUAACUACUGCGAAAGCAUUCGCCAAGGAUGUUUUCAUUAAUCAGGGAACGAAAGUUAGGGGAUCGACUAGACGAUCAGAUACCGUCGUAGUCUUAACCAUAAACUAUGCCGACUAGGGAUCGGACGGUGUUUCUAUUAUGACCCGUUCGUGGCACCUUACGAGAAAUCAAAGUUUUUGGGUUCUGGGGGGAGUAUGGUCGCAAGGCUGAAACUUAAAGAAAUUGACGGAAUUGGGCACCACCAGGCGUGGAGCCUGCGGCUUAAUUUGACUCAACACGGGGAAACUCACCAGGUCCAGACAAAAUAAGGAUUCCGACAGAUUGAGAGCUCUUUCUUGAUCUUUUGGAUGGUGGUGCAUGGCCGUUCUUAGUUGGUGGAGUGAUUUGUCUGCUUAUUAUUGCGAUAACGAACGAGACCUCGGCCCUUAAAUAGCCCGGUCCGCAUUUGCGGGCCGCUGGCUUCUUAGGGGGACUAUCAAGGCUCAAGCCGAUGGAAGUGCGCGGCAAUAACAGGUCUGUGAUGCCCUUAGAUGUUCUGGGCCGCACGCGCGCUACACUGAUACAGGGCCAGCGAGUACAUCACCUUGGCCGAGAGGUCUGGGUAAUCUUGUUAAACCCUGUCGUGCUGGGGAUAGAGCAUUAUGCAAUUAUUGCUCUUCAACGAGGAAUGCCUAGUAGGCACGAGUCAUCAGCUCGUGCCGAUUACGUCCCUGCCCUUUGUACUAACACCGCCCGUCGCUACUACCGAUUGAAUGGCUCGGUGAGGCCUUCGGACUGGCUCAGGAGGGUUGGCAACGACCCCCCA
rnacentral:rRNA from 1 species